rnacentral:rRNA from 3 species
GAGGGUGAUGCCUGCCCAAUGGUUGUAUCUAAAAGCGGUUGAUAAAAGUCGACCUCGUAAGGACAAUUGAAUGGCCGCGGUAACACUGACCGUGAUAAUGUAGCGUAAUCAAUAGCCAAUUAAUUGUUGGCCAGUAUGAAUGGCGCCACGAAGGCCCCACUGUCUUAAGGAAAUUCCCAGUGAAAUUGAAUUCGUAGUGAAGAUGCUACGUCCAAUUUGUUAGACGAAAAGACCCCGUUGAGCUUUACUGGAGCACUUAUAUGGCCCCGGCCUUCCCAUGCCUGGGAACCGGCCGAAUUUAAAUGGGCGGCUUAGAUUAUGUGGCAGCCCCCCGCUGGGGCAAAUGAAACACCACUCCCCCAUGUCAAAGGGGCUAACCCCCCCCUUGGGGGGGACAGUGUAAGUAGGACAGUUUGGUUGGGGCGACCGCCUUUUAAAAAGUAACGAAGGUGCGCUUAAGGUGUGCAAUUAAUGACUGAAGCCUGACUGCGAGGGGGGUACCCCGAG